rnacentral:rRNA from 1 species
AUACGUAGGGGGCGAGCGUUGUCCGGAAUGAUUGGGCGUAAAGGGCGCGUAGGCGGCCCGGUAAGUCUGGAGUGAAAGUCCUGCUUUUGAGGUGGGAAUUGCUUUGGAUACUGUCGGGCUUGAGUGCAGGAGAGGUAAGUGGAAUUCCCAGUGUAGCGGUGAAAUGCGUAGAGAUUGGGAGGAACACCAGUGGCGAAGGCGACUUACUGGACUGUAACUGACGCUGAGGCGCGAAAGUGUGGGGAGCAAACAGGAUUAGAUACCCUGGUAGUCCACACUGUAAACGAUGAAUGCUAGGUGUAGGGGGUAUCGACCCCUUCUGUGCCGCAGUUAACACAAUAAGCAUUCCGCCUGGGGAGUACGGCCGCAAGGUUGAAACUCAAAUGAAUUGACGGGG